rnacentral:rRNA from 1 species
UUUGACGUUAGCUGCAGAAGAAGCACCGGCUAACUCCGUGCCAGCAGCCGCGGUAAUACGGAGGGUGCGAGCGUUAAUCGGAAUUACUGGGCGUAAAGCGCAUGCAGGUGGUUUUGUUAAGUCAGAUGUGAAAGCCCGGGGCUCAACCUCGGAAUUGCAUUUGAAACUGGCAAACUAGAGUACUGUAGAGGGGGUAGAAUUUCAGGUGUAGCGGUGAAAUGCGUAGAGAUCUGAAGGAAUACCGGUGGCGAAGGCGGCCCCCUGGACAGAUACUGACACUCAGAUGCGAAAGCGUGGGGAGCCAAACAGGAUUAGAUACCCCUGGUAG